GUAGGUGGCAAGCGUUGUCCGGAAUUAUUGGGCGUAAAGCGCGCGCAGGCGGUCCUUUAAGUCUGAUGUGAAAGCCCACGGCUCAACCGUGGAGGGUCAUUGGAAACUGGGGGGACUUGAGUACAGAAGAGGAAAGCGGAAUUCCAAGUGUAGCGGUGAAAUGCGUAGAGAUUUGGAGGAACACCAGUGGCGAAGGCGGCUUUCUGGUCUGUAACUGACGCUGAGGCGCGAAAGCGUGGGGAGCAAACAGGAUUAGAUACCCUGGUAGUCCACGCCGUAAACGAUGAGUGCUAAGUGUUAGGGGGUUUCCGCCCCCCUUAGUGCUGCAGCUAACGCAUUAAGCACUCCGCCUGGGGAGUACGGCCGCAGGCUG
rnacentral:rRNA from 1 species